AGCUAGGCAUGGCGACACCCACCUUUAAUACCAGCCCUCAGGCAGAGGACAGGUGGGACUCUAAGUCUGGGGGCAGCCCUGGUCUACAGCCAGGGCUGCACAGAGACUGUGGCUUGAAAAAACCAAAAUCCCAAAACAAACAAAAGACCUUAGAAGGCAGAGGUGUGUUUUGGCAGUAUAUAAUAAAAAUACACAUGAAACUGAGCAUAAAAACACAGCCUGUAAUCUCAUCAUUCAGGAGUCUGAGGCAGGAGGAUAAUGAGUUGGAGACCAGCCUGGGCUACAUAGUGAGUUUCAGACAAGCCUGAGAUAUGUAGCAAGAUCCUGCCUCAAAACUCUCAAAAUAGAGACAGAUAAGAAGAGAAAGAGGAGGGAGGAGGAGAAAACAAAUCCAGAUUGGUUGAUAUAUCAAUAGAUGGGUGGAUGUUAUACAGAGUGUAGAAUUUGAUAAGCUCAGGUGGGGAGUAUAAGAUUAUUUAUUAUGGGGGUUGGGGAUUUAGCUCAGUGGUAGAGUGCUUGCCUAGCGAGCGCAAGGCCCUGGGUUCGGUCCCCAGCUCCG
rnacentral:lncRNA from 1 species